AACCUAUGGUGAAAGCACAUUCUCAAUAAAUCUUUACACCUCUCCCAUGCAUCAUAUAAUGUCUCUAAAUCCAUUUGUACAAAGGAAGAGAUAUCAUUCCUCAAUUU
rfam:Gossypium arboreum cultivar AKA8401 contig_102201_1, whole genome shotgun sequence.